ACUUUUGUUUCACUUUAGGUGAACUCCAGAAAGCCAUUGACUUAUUCACAGAUGCCAUCAAGCUGAAUCCUCGCUUGGCCAUUUUGUAUGCCAAGAGGGCCAGGUGAGAACUCUAAACAGAAAAGCAUCCCCUGGCAAAUAAUUUCUGCACAUUUGUUUAAAUAGAGUUGCUUCUGUGUUGAUCCCAAAACUUUUACUGAAAUGAAUACUUUUUAAUAACACACUUAUUUUUCAGUGUCUUCGUCAAAUUACAGAAGCCAAAUGCUGCCAUCCGAGACUGUGACAGAGCCAUUGAAAUAAAUCCUGAUUCAGCUCAGCCUUACAAGUGGCGGGGGAAAGCACACAGGCACAGAAAAUUGCAGAACAUCGGAGAAAGUAUGAGCGAAAACGUGAAGAGCGAGAGAUCAAAGAAAGAAUAGAACGAGUUAAGAAGGCUCGAGAAGAGCAUGAGAGAGCCCAGAGGGAGGAAGAAGCCAGACGACAGUCAGGAGCUCAGUAUGGCUCUUUUCCAGGUGGCUUUCCUGGGGGAAUGCCUGGUAAUUUUCCCGGAGGAAUGCCUGGAAUGGGAGGGGGCAUGCCUGGAAUGGCUGGA
rnacentral:lncRNA from 1 species